rnacentral:rRNA from 1 species
CCUACGGGAGGCAGCAGUGAGGAAUAUUGGUCAAUGGACGAGAGUCUGAACCAGCCAAGUAGCGUGAAGGAUGACUGCCCUAUGGGUUGUAAACUUCUUUUAUAUGGGAAUAAAAUGUUCCACGUGUGGGAUUUUGUAUGUACCAUAUGAAUAAGGAUCGGCUAACUCCGUGCCAGCAGCCGCGGUAAUACGGAGGAUCCGAGCGUUAUCCGGAUUUAUUGGGUUUAAAGGGAGCGUAGGUGGGUUGUUAAGUCAGUUGUGAAAGUUUGCGGCUCAACCGUAAAAUUGCAGUUGAAACUGGCAGUCUUGAGUACAGUAGAGGUGGGCGGAAUUCGUGGUGUAGCGGUGAAAUGCUUAGAUAUCACGAAGAACUCCGAUUGCGAAGGCAGCUCACUGGACUGCAACUGACACUGAGGCACGAAAGCGUGGGUAUCGAACAGGAUUAGAUACCCGGGUAGUC